AUGACUUCAUAGAUACAUGUUGUGUUAACUUAUAUCUGGGACUAACUGUUAAUGCCUUUAAAUGUAUCUAGUGUUAUUUAAUUGUUAUUGAAAGUCGUAUUACAAAAGAUACAAGUUUAUACCUACAUACAUACAUGUUAUAUUAACUUGUACAUAAAGUAUGAUGUUCUUAGAGUUUUUAUUUUUAUUGUACCGUCUUAAUGUAGAGUUGUUGCAUCUCGACUAAUUUUAUCAUUAUUGUUUCUUUUUAUUUUUAGGAAUUGAGUUAUGUUAGAAAGGAAAUUCCAACUCAUCCUCUUAGAUUUGUAAGUUCAUGCAAUUCAAGAUUUAAGGAUGAAAUUAAAGAAGUUGUCGGUCAAGAAGUUUUGACACUUAUUUGAGAAGACUAUUUUUGGAUGUUUUCUCAACAUACCUCUUUCCAAUUAUAUUGGACAAAUAAUAAAAUAUCUUCUUAUGCUCGAUAUCGAGCAACCAAAUCAAGAAGAGAUACAUAUGUUUUUCAAAGGCCCGAUUCUUAGAUUUUUCAUCUAUGAAUUUGCUUUGAUAACUGGCUUAAACUAUUUUGAUAAUGUUGAUGAUUUCAAAUAUGAAGAUUCUUCUCCGAGUCGGCUUAUGAAAAGGUAUUUUCCGCAAUCAACGAAUGAAGUAGAUAAGAAGGCAUUGGUGGAAAUUUUCUGAAGGAAAAUUUUGAAAACAAAGAGGAUGCCCUCCAGAUGGCAAUCCUACACUUCAUCCACACAUUCAUCUACUCAUAGCUAAAUGCUUCUCCCGUGCCAUUUUCUGAUUUCAAAAUGGUUGAAGAUGGAAAAUAUGAAUUCUUUCUUUGGGGUAUAGUAUCUUUCUCCAGGUUAAUGGCCUCACCUAGGCAAAAAUUUUCAAUGAAGAAGCAGCUUUAUAGGUUGGGUGGUAUCCCUCAGGUUCUUAAUGUGUGGAUGUUUGAACUUUGUUCAAAUGUUGAUUCCAAAGUUACUGUAAAGGAGGGUAAUAACAUACCUCGUAUAUUGAAUUGGAGGGUUGUUAUAGUUCGGCCUCAGUUUAAUUAGUUUAUGACCGAAAUAUUUAGCAAGGUUCGAUACUGAUUGAAUUUUUUUCAUACAUUGCAUUAUAGUUUAGUUUUAAUCGUACUAAUAUUUAAUGGAUAAAUUUUUUGUACAUAAUGUUCAUAUGCCAACAUUGUUCCUACUGCGGAUGAGUUUGUAAAACUUGAUUUGCUGCGAACUAGUUUUGCAUCUGAUCACCAUGGUACAUCUUCAGUGCCAUCAUCAAUUGAAAAUCCAGAUCAGAGGAGUUACAGAGUGAAUUUACCUCAAGUUACCGAAGAUCGUGACAGUUUUGAUGACUUUAGUACGACCCCUCCAUAAUUUUUGAUGAGGGAGUCAAUACAUGUAUCUUGUACAGUAUCUACACCUCUGUCAAAGAGUAGAAAAGAUGUUCCUAUAGGAAGAAGAUUAGAUAGUAAAGAACAAAGGCAGAUCUAGAACGCAAAAGAAAAACAGAUAGCAGAUAUAGAAGAAAAGAAUAAAGUGGAUGCUGAUUCAACAUGCAUAAACAGGAAAAAGCUUUUGGUUAAAGCAUACCUAGAUUCGUUAGAGUCCGAAAUAAAGACAUAUGUGAAGACAUACGUAAGGAUCUAGAGUAUAUUACUGUAUAAAGUUAUGAUUUGUAUGCAUUUUAACUAAUCAACUAUGCAUAGUUAUUAGAUUGAUAAAAAAUUCAAAGAUUUGGAGCGUGUGAUGAAUGACAGAUUCUCUGAAGUUUUGAAGUCAUUGCAGCAGAAAAAUGAGACAGUGGAGAAGGAAAAAGUUGCAAAUUAAAGCCCGAAAGAGGGUCAACAUUCAGAUGAUGUUUCUGAUUUUGAAGGCCAUAAUAAUUCCAUCAGUCCAUAUUUUGUCUCGAAAAAAACAGAGGAAAUGGAGGAAAAUAUUCUAAAAUAGAUCCGGCAAGAAGGUGAUCCUUCAGAUAAUGUUGUUGAUAUUGCAGGACCUACUAGUACUGACAGUCUAGUGAAAGAAACUGACAAACCAGUUGAAAUGGAGGAGGAUAAAGCCAACCAAGCACCAUCACAUUUCAAAAAUGGUGAACAACAUGUAAAGGAAUUAACAUUCAUUAUGUGUUUUGUAAUUAACAUGACUAUUUUAGCAUGCUUGAAAUGAUAAAUGUAAACUAAGACAUAUAUGUAAUUAACAUUUAGGUA